rnacentral:tRNA from 2 species
AGAGAUGGCUGAGUGGUUGAUAGCUCCGGUCUUGAAAACCGGUAUAGUUCUUUGCAAACUAUCGAGGGUUCGAAUCCCUCUCUCUCCU